rnacentral:rRNA from 1 species
CCGGUUGAUCCUGCCGGAGGCUACCGCUAUUGGAGUUCGAUUAAGCCAUGCGAGUCCAGAGCUUUCGGAGCUCGGCGUACCGCUCAGUAACACGUGGGUAACCUAACCUAUGCAGGGGAAUAACCUCGGGAAACUGAGAAUAAUGCCCCAUAGUCCACUACGCCUGGAACGGUGAGUGGAUGAAAGCUCAGGCGGCAUAGGAUGGGCCUGCGGCGUAUCAGGUUGUAGGGGGUGUAAAGUACCCUCUAGCCCUCUACGCGUACGGGUGUUGGGAGACAUAGCCCGGAGAUGGAUUCUGAGACACGAAUCCAGACCCUACGGGGUGCAGCAGGCGCGAAAACUUGGCAAUGCGAGCAAUCGUGACCAGGGAACUCCAAGUGGCUGGGGUAAGACCCAGUCUUUUCAGAACUCUUCAAAGGUUUUAGAAUAAGGGGUGGGUAAGGACGGUGCCAGCCGCCGCGGUAAUACCGGCGCCUCAAGUGGUAGUCGCUUUUAUUGGGCCUAAAACGUCCGUAGCCGGUUUGGUACAUUCGUGGGUAAAUCAACUCGCUCAACGAGUUGAAUUCUGCGAGGACGGCCAGACUUGGGACCGGGAGAGGUGUGGGGUACUCUCAGGGUAGGGGUAAAAUCCUGUCAUCCUGAGAGGACCACCUGUUGCGAAGGCGCCACACUAGAACGGAUCCGACGGUCAGGGACGAAGCCUAGGGGCACGAACCGGAUUAGAUACCCGGGUAGUCCUAGGUGUAAACGCUGUGGACUUGAUGUUGGAGGAGCUCCGAGCUCUUUCAGUGUCGAAGCGAAGGUGAUAAGUCCACUGCCUGGGAAGUACGGUCGCAAGGCUGAAACUUAAAGGAAUUGGCGGGGGAGCACCGCAACCUGAGGAUUGUGCGGUUUAAUUGGAGUCA